rnacentral:rRNA from 1 species
UACGGGGGGGGCAAGCGUUGUUCGGAAUUACUGGGCGUAAAGGGCUCGUAGGCGGCCAACUAAGUCAGACGUGAAAUCCCUCGGCUUAACCGGGGAACUGCAUCUGAUACUGGAUGGCUUGAGAUUGGGAGAGGGAUGCGGAAUUCCAGGUGUAGCGGUGAAAUGCGUAGAUAUCAGGAGGAACACCCGAGGCGAAGGCGGCUCUCUGGGUCGUACCUGACGCUGAGGCGCGAAAGCGUGGGGAGCGAACGGG